CUAGCGACUUCAGAGUUUGAUCCUGGCUCAGGAUGAACGCUGGCGGCGUGCUUAACACAUGCAAGUCGAACGAAGCACUUGUUCACGAUCCCUUCGGGGUGACGAGCUUGUGACUGAGUGGCGGACGGGUGAGUAACGCGUGGGUAACCUGCCUCAUACAGGGGGAUAACAGUUGGAAACGACUGCUAAUACCGCAUAAGCCCACGACCUCGCAUGAGGUUGUGAGAAAAACUCCGGUGGUACGAGAUGGACCCGCGUUGGAUUAGCUUGUUGGUGGGGUAACGGCCCACCAAGGCGACGAUCCAUAGCCGACCUGAGAGGGUGACCGGCCACAUUGGGACUGAGACACGGCCCAA
rnacentral:rRNA from 1 species